UUCCGGUUGAUCCCGCCGGAGGCUACCGCUAUUGGAGUUCGAUUAAGCCAUGCGAGUCGCGAGUCUUCAAGGACUCGGCGUACCGCUCAGUAACACGUGGGUAACCUGCCCUAUGCUGGGGGAUAACCUCGGGAAACUGAGAAUAAUACCCCAUAGUUCACCACGCCUGGAACGGUGGGUGGAUGAAAGCUCCGGCGGCAUAGGAUGGGCCUGCGGCGUAUCAGGUUGUAGGGGGUGUAAUGUACCCUCUAGCCAUCUACGCGUACGGGUGUUGGGAGACAUCGCCCGGAGAUGGAUUCUGAGACACGAAUCCAGACCCUACGGGGUGCAGCAGGCGCGAAAACUUGGCAAUGCGAGCAAUCGUGACCAGGGAACUCCAAGUGCAUCGGGUAAGACCGAUGCUUUUCUUGACUCUUCAAAGGUCUUGGAAUAAGGGGUGGGUAAGGACGGUGCCAGCCGCCGCGGUAAUACCGGCGCCUCAAGUGGUAGUCGCUUUUAUUGGGCCUAAAACGUCCGUAGCCGGUUUGGUACAUUCGUGGGUAAAUCAAGGCGCUCAACGUCUUGAAUUCUGCGAGCACGGCCAGACUUGGGACCGGGUGAGGUGUGGGGUACUCUCAGGGUAGGGGUAAAAUCCUGUCAUCCUGAGAGGACCACCUGUUGCGAAGGCGCCACACUAGAACGGAUCCGACGGUCAGGGACGAAGCCUAGGGGCACGAACCGGAUUAGAUACCCGGGUAGUCCUAGGUGUAAACGCUGUGGACUUGAUGUUGGGAGUGCUCCGAGCACCCUCAGUGUCGAAGCGAAGGUGAUAAGUCCACUGCCUGGGGAGUACGGUCGCAAGGCUGAAACUUAAAGGAAUUGGCGGGGGAGCACUGCAACCUGAGGAUUGUGCGGUUUAAUUGGAUUCAACGCCGGA
rnacentral:rRNA from 1 species